GCUAUCUUUUCUCAUCAGUUUUCGAGCUUUCCAAAAGCUAACCUCCCAAUUUUCAAUUCAACCCCUCUUGGUGUUUGGUUUGAGGGAAAAGAAAAUUGGAGGAGAUGGGUGAAGAAGUUAUGGGGAAGGUUAUGAGGGGGGUUUAAGUUCAGUAGUGUAAAUUGAGUGACCACCACCAAAGUUCUUGUUCCACUAAUCAAGUUUAAGUAGUUAGCUCCAUGGAAGUGUUGUAUACACUGUUUAGUUAUUGUGAUUUUUCUCUGAAAGCACUGAGCUGGGGAAUAUUAUAUGAAAUGGAAUUUUUUUGAAUUCUGGCAUUUAUGAUCAAACCCCUGAGCAAUUCUACUUUCAUGAAUGGUGACAUGUCCAGCAAUUAUACCUAUGCCUUUUUUUUUUUAAUGCAAUUUUACUUGUGCACGUUUAUGCUUAUAUAUGAAAAGCUGAGAAAAUUCGAUUGCCUUUUUUUAUUAAUGCAAUUUUACUUGUGCACGUUUAUAAUAUCAAUUACAUUGGAACAACUCAAUGCAGAUGGCUUACAAUGAAGAGGAAUUGGAAGAGUGAGCUGUUGAUGAUGAUCAUAAGUACUACUCAGGCUCAUACUUGCAAUGCGUUUUCUUCUUUAAUUUUGAAGCAGCCAGGUUUGAAGAUUUCCUCCAGUUGUCCCAAACUGAAGCAGGGUUAGAUAUGAGUGCUGCAGUUCUGAAGAAUUUGAAAGCAUCAGAAGUUGCUGGUGGAGCCAAGGAAGUAUGCAGAGAAGCCAGCCAAGUUUGUGAGUCCAAAAUGCAGCCCCCACUUCAUCCAGCAGCCUCGUUGAAUCAGCUUACCUCUUUUGUAGUUUGGCUAAUGGCAAAACCAAAGUACUUGUCAUGUAUAGUUCCUUGGUGGAGUAAAAGAGAUGUUAGCCGUGAUCUUUUCAUGGCUGGUACUUAGAAUUUUCUUUGUUUUUGUUUGUUUAUAAAGGAUACUCGACAAACCUUACUUUUAUGUAAUUAAUCAUGUUGAAGAUAAAUAGAUUUUCUUUUCACCA